rnacentral:pre_miRNA from 1 species
CUUGUACUCCCUUCGUCCGAAAAUACUUGUCAUUGAAAUGGAUGUAUCUAGAUGUAUUUUAGUUCUAGACACAUCCAUUUUGAUGACAAGUAAUUUCGGACGGAGGGAGUACUUG